UACAGAGGGUGCGAGCGUUGUCCGGAAUCACUGGGCGUAAAGGGCGCGUAGGUGGCGACCCAAGUCGAUGGUGAAAGCUCGUCGCUCAACGACGAGUCGGCCACCGAUACUGGGUUGCUCGAGCACUGUAGAGGCAGAUGGAAUUCCGGGUGUAGCGGUGGAAUGCGUAGAGAUCGGGAGGAACAUCAGUGGCGCAAGCGGCACCCUGGCCUUGGCCUGACGCUCAGGGGCGAAAGCGUGGGGAGCGAACGGG
rnacentral:rRNA from 1 species